UACGAAGGGGGCUAGCGUUGCUCGGAAUUACUGGGCGUAAAGCGCACGUAGGCGGUCUUUUAAGUCGGGGGUGAAAUCCUGGAGCUCAACUCCAGAACUGCCUUCGAUACUGGAAGACUUGAGUCCGGGAGAGGUGAGUGGAACUGCGAGUGUAGAGGUGAAAUUCGUAGAUAUUCGCAAGAACACCAGUGGCGAAGGCGGCUCACUGGCCCGGUACUGACGCUGAGGUGCGAAAGCGUGGGAGCAAACAG
rnacentral:rRNA from 1 species